AACGAACGCUGGCGGCAGGCUUAACACAUGCAAGUCGAACGCAUCCUUCGGGGUGAGUGGCAGACGGGUGAGUAACGCGUGGGAACGUGCCCUGCAGUUCGGAAUAACCCAGGGAAACUUGGGCUAACACCGGAUACGUGCGAGAGCAGAAAGAUUUAUCGCUGAAGGAUCGGCCCGCGUCUGAUUAGCUAGUUGGUGGGGUAGUGACCCACCAAGGCGACGAUCAGUAGCUGGUCUGAGAGGAUGAUCAGCCACAUUGGGACUGAGACACGGCCCAAACUCCUACGGGAGGCAGCUGUGGGGAAUAUUGGACAAUGGGCGCAAGCCUGAUCCAGCCAUGCCGCGUGAGUGAUGACGGCCUUAGGGCUGUAAAGCUCUUUCGUCCGGGACGAUAAUGACGGUACCGGAAGAAGAAGCCCCGGCUAACUUCGUGCCAGCCGCCGCCGUAA
rnacentral:rRNA from 1 species